GACGAACGCUGGCGGCGUGCUUAACACAUGCAAGUCGAACGGAAAUACUGGAGUAUUUAUAUGAAGGUAUUUUAGUGGCGGACGGGUGAGUAACACGUGGGUAACCUGCCCUAUGGAGGGGGAUAACACAUAGAAAUGUGUGCUAAUACCGCAUAAUAUACAGAGAUCGCAUGGUUUUUGUAUCAAAUAUUUAUAGCCAUAGGAUGGACCCGCGGCCCAUUAGCUAGUUGGUGAGGUAACGGCCCACCAAGGCGACGAUGGGUAGCCGAUCUGAGAGGAUGAACGGCCACAUUGGAACUGAGACACGGUCCAGACUCCUACGGGAGGCAGAAGUGGGGAAUAUUGCACAAUGGGGGAAACCCUGAUGCAGCAACGCCGCGUGAGUGACGAAGGCCUUCGGGUUGUAAAACUCUGUCUUAGCUGACGAUAAUGACGGUAAGCUAGGAGGAAGCCACGGCUAACUACGUGCCAGCCGCCGCCGUAA
rnacentral:rRNA from 1 species